GCUUUCUUUUCCGAAUGGAGGGUGGAGAAGCCCGGGAAGGUAGGAGGCCGGGCGCGACAGGUGUAAUUAACAUGUACUGAGAGCUUCUGCAGGCCAGGAAGGAAUUUUAAAAUGCCUUUUAUAUGUGGGGAAAUGCUGCUAGUCUUUUCUAAAACGGGGGCCAAUUCUGUACAAUUUCUUUAAAAGUCUGAGUGCCUAGAAUUUCACCAUAAGAGUUUCUCCUUGAGUACAACAUUAUCCCCAGUAUUUCAAAAUUUUUAAAACUUUUAAAAGUUCAUUUCUUGGGGAAAAACAACUGUAAAUAGGUUAAUGCCUCAACCAGUCUCCCCACAUCCCCUUCCCAAGUCUGCAGCUGCGAUGAGAAAGGAUGAGAGUGUGGACUGGGAUUUAAUUCAGGCGCUGACUCCGAGUGAUGGAGGUGAACAUCCCUUCCCUGCCUGUCUCAGGAUUAUCGUGAGGAUUUGGUAAGCCAAGCUAGUUAAAGAGCCCCAGGGACUUGCUUCCCAUCAUCCACCUGACAAACAUUUGUUCCCUGUCUUGUCGGGGCUGUCUUUUCAUCUGUAUGAUGGAAGGAGAUUGGGAAUAUUAGUGAACAUUCAGGACUUUGCUAGAUUUCCCAAUCUGGGUGAAGGCCGGAGAGGCGGAAGAUCAAGCUUCUGUGUUCAUUCCCUUCUGGAAUCCUGCGGUCCAACCUGAGGGCCCCGAUGUAUCCUGACUUCUCCCACUCAUUACCUUCCGUGGAGGCCGAUCCAAGCUUCAAGUCUUCAGAGGCCCUGCUGGCCUGUUCCCUUCCCUGUUGCCUGUGGCAAUAGCCCAAGAGAUUCAGGACCUAUGUUCCAGGUUCUCAAAGUUGCUAUGUCCCUCACAUGGCAAUCAAAUUCAGUUAACAUCUUUGAGGGCUCUGGGGGUGCUCAGAGGAAGGAGGGCUCCCCCAAAGCAGGUGGAGCUCUAGUCAUGACUGUGGCUUAUUUCACCACAUAUUCCACAGCUUGCUGUGGGGUAGGGAGGAGAGGCAACAGGAAACCUCAGAGGCUGCAGUGUUUAUGGGAGCCGAGGGUGAUGCGGCAUCCUUUACUCAAUAGGUGGAUGCUCUGCCCCAGGCUGGAGAGGAUGGCUUACUACCUAGGUCCCUGCUCCAAAUAUUGUUUUGGAAUUUUUUUUCUUUUUUUUUUUCUGAGACAAGGUCUCACUGUGUUCCCCAGGCUGGAGUGCAGUGGCACCAGCUUUGCUCACUGCAACCUCUGCUUGGGCUCAAGUGAUCCUCCUGCUUCAGCCUCCUGAGUAGCUGGGAUUACAGGCAUGCACUACCAUGACUGGCUAAUUUUUGAAUUUUUUUAGAGGCAGGGUUUUGCCAUGUUGCCCAGGCUGGUCUCGAACUCCUGAGCUCAAUGAUCCUCCCACCUUGGCCUCCCAAAGUGCUGGGAUUACAGGGAAGAGCCACUAUGCCCAGCUUUGUUAUGGACCUUGAGCCAACAGGAAAAUAAAGCCCAGCCUGACUUCUCAACCAAGCUGCCACUCUACCUCCCAGGACCCUUUGUUACUAGGUUUUGCCCCAUGGGAGUGUGCUCUUUUAUCUGCAUCAUUGAGGCCCUAUCUCUUUCUUUUCCCCUUCUCUUCCUUUCUGUCUAUUCUUCUUUAAGCAUCCCUCUGUGAAUCUCUCAAAGCAAUUUUGUGUCAGCUUCCUAAUGUAUUUACAGAUAUUCUCAUGUAAGGUGCAGGUCUUGGGUCACACAGUUCUAAGAUAAAUCUACUCUCACUGCCAUGGUCAUAUUUCAAAAUGACCAUGAACCCAAAGCAUGGGACUUGUAACAGUCUGAGCUGUCCAAUGACAGAGGAGGUAGUGAGCGAUCUGUUAUAGGAGGUGUGCAAAUAGCACCCUUUUAGAAUGCUGGGAUUGGGCCUCCUGUGGUGAGCCAGAGGAAGAGGCAGCAGAAUGGAGGGCCUUCCAGAUUCUAGAGGAGUGACUAAAGGCAGGGAUAUUGGGGGCUGGAAGGGAAGCAAGGCAGCUGGCCAAAGACACACUUGAUUCAACAAGCUAUUAUAUGUCAAGCACUUAGAAGUGUACCUGACACAUAAUGAACAUUAGCUGUUAUGAUGACUGUGAAUGAUUCAUAGACUAUAUAAUGAAGGAGCUGAGAUCAAUCAGUCCUUCACUCCCAUCACUGAUAACAAAAUAGAUGAAGGGUUGGGGUCUAGAGGGGGAAUGGGCUUGCAAUGGAACUUCAGGAGCUGGGCUGGGGCUACAACCUAUGCCUUUGCCUCCCAGGAGAGCCUCUGCACAAAGCCAGGCUGGCUCCUUUGCAGGAAGAGGGAAGAGCUCUAGAUGGGCCUUUGUUGACUCUUAAGAACCAAGCUGCUUUUUAAUUCCUGCCCAGGCAGCUUGUGAGUUGGGGCAGUGGAAUGACAGCAAGACCUGAGCCAAUAGAUGCAGAUGUCUACUGGGGAGUAAGCUCAGGAGUCAGGCCCAUGUCCUGCCACCCCCACCGUAGCUCCAGCCAGCAACAAGUAUCUUCCUCUUCAGGAUGGCCUCCUGUCCUGUAAUUAGUGUUGGGAUUGUAUUUCCACUCUGUCCUUUUAUCUACUACCUCAAAAAAAAACCACCCAGAGUAAGGGGCUGGAGUGAGAAUAGCCAAUGCCAGGCCAGGCGUGGUGGCUCAUGCCUGUAAUCCCAGCACUUUGGGAGGCCGAGGCGGGUAGAUCACGAGGUCAGGAGAUCGAGACCAUCCUGGCUAACGCGGUGAAACCCCGUUUCUACUAAAAAUACAAAAAAAUUAGCUGGGCGUGGUGGUGGGUGCCUGUAGUCCCAGC
rnacentral:lncRNA from 1 species